UAGAAUAGUGCUGACUGUAUCUUUUGCCUAAAAAGAAGUCACUGAGAAGCAGCUUACAAGCUCUAUUAGGUAAGUUGAAUACCUUUUUUAUUUUUAUUUUGUUUGUCUAUGUAAUGUACUCGUUUGUGUGUGAGUGUAUAUAUGUAUUUAUUUUUGUCAUUGAUGACAAAAGGCCACAGGUAUUCAAUGUGAUUUGAGCUAUACCAGUAAUAACAUGUUGCUUGUGGUGGGCUGAAACCAAUGAACAGGUAGGCCUGAAAAAAAAAAGAGGGCAAAACAUAUAAAAAAACACCUUAUCUCAGAACAAAAUAAUUACGUAAGUUUCUCCCCUAUUAUUACUCCUGACUUGUACCUUGACUGAUUCAGCAACUGUUAUAUAGAGUAGAAGUUUUCCCCGUCUGUCAGUGCGUUAGUGUUUUUCUGUCUGUUAGUGUGUGUCUCAUUCAGUGAGUGUGUGUGUAUGUCAGUUAAUAUGUAUGUUUAGGUCACCAGCCCCCCUUAGAUUGCAUGAUCGAUUGCAUAUGAAUGGUGUUUUUACCACCUUUUUCCCAACGCUGUGACUGUCUCAGGGUGCCUGUCCUGUCUUCAUAGCUGAGAUUAUCAGUCUUGAUGAGCUCAGCCAAUCCAAUGCUUUCCUAUGGGAAAGCAUUGGUUGCUAUUGAGCAUGUGUGGCAAAAUGCUGCACCAAUAUGCAUCUCCUCGUAAAGAUGCAUUAAAUCAAUGCAUCUUUAUGAGGAACGUUCAGCGCCUCCAUGCAGAUAGGAGACACUUUAGUAGCUGUUUGAGCGACUGCCACUAGAGAUGUUACUAGGCAGCAAUGUAAACACUGCAUUUUUAAGUAUAGACAGGCUAUAGACACCAGAGAGACUACAUUAAGCUGUAGUGAUUCUGGUGACUAUAGUGUUCCUUUUUAAGAAUUUUAAUUUUGUUGUUGGAAAAAGCUGGCACCUAGAUUCAAAGCAAAUUUGUCAAGCCCUGAAGUAAGCUACCCUAACAGCCAGUCCAAGUUAAAUGUAAAGUCAUGUUGGAGGAAGUGGCUGCAAAUAAGGAGGGAGGUUAAUUAAGUAACUAACACAGUGAAAAUACAGCAGAGUGAUUGUCAGUAAGCUAGGUAAAGUAAGUAAAAUGAGCUCAGAACGAUAAAAAUGCUCUAGUGUUACCUGCAACCAAAAGAAUACUUAAGCAAUUUAAACACUGUAUUAAAUGACCCCAUUGUAUGCGUUGUAUGCUGAAAUAGUCCCGGAUAGUGUGUUUAUGUUUACUGUAUGUUGUAUUAUGUAGGUGUGUGGAGGUUCUGUGAUGUUAAAUGUGGGUUGGUUUGUUCCUUGUAGUAUAUGUGAUGUGGUAUUGUGGGCUUGGAAGUUUUAGGUUGUGUAUGUGUGAUUCUCUGUAAUGUGUGUGGGUUGUAUGUAUAAGUGGUGUUUGCAGGGGUGUUACCAGGGUCAUUCUACAAAUAAUAUCAAUGUAUACUACAAUUUAUAAUAACCUAAACGUAUUCCAAGGUUAAUGCCCAUGCCUCCCUCUAUUUCUUACCUUUUCCCAUGGAGACAGGCAUGGGGUGUGUGUCUUGUGAUUUGCACUAUUCCAUAGGUACGGGGCAAUUCUGCAGACCAAAGACUUUUUUUGUGCUACAGGUGCGAGGGAGCUUUGCUCUGGGCUAUCUGUGAUAUUUUCUGAUCCUUAACUGUCUCUCACAUUUUGGGAUCUUUGCAUAUUUUAAAAAACCUCCUAUAGUGAGAUCGUUGCUUGGUGUGCAGUGACCUGGGCGGGGCAGUUGUACUCUGCUGAUGCAGUCUGUUGUGGGCAUCAUCAUCUUUGAUCUUCAAAUCCUAGCACUUCAUCUGCUAGUAGCACAUGUCAGAGUAAAAAUAUAUCACACAUGUACAACCAUGAUGGAUAAGGAGACCCCCUCAAAACAAUAGGAGUAUCUAUAGAUAUUGAUUAGGCACUGAUGAUGUCUAACAAGGCUGAAACGAUCGUCUGGGGUUGCUGUAUCUCUCGUGCAGAGAGAACGUGCUGGCAUUUCGGAUCUGGACUGCCCGCAUGGGUGGGACCAGUCUGAUAUGCUUCAGAUAUGUUCUCUCUGUAAUGGCACAAGAUGAGCUAAAACCAGCUUGAGUUCUGAGCGGGGACCCACCGAAAGGUAGGCUAUUUUAGCUGCUGUCCGUUCUCAGAAUACUCUUGCGGCCCCAUUUUUUGCUAUCUAUAGAUAUUGUCUCAUGAUGAUCAAGACAAUUUCUUAUUUACUUGAAAUGACUGAGGUACAUGCCAAAAGUUGACAGCAGUAGCAGUGGACCCUUGUUUGAACAUUUUUGCAUAUGUAAAAUAUAUGUGUGUGUGUGUGUGUG